rnacentral:pre_miRNA from 11 species
CUUUGCGUUCAGCCUCUUUACGGUGCUGCCUUGUGGCGUCUCGAUCAAGCAGCAUUGUACAGGGCUAUGAAGGCUCAG